rnacentral:siRNA from 1 species
AGCGUGCUUGGGCGAGAGUA